rnacentral:lncRNA from 1 species
GCCACAAAAAGUGCUUCAAAUUAAUGGGUAAAUGGAAGAUACUUUGGAUGCUUCAUCCAAGAUGCCAUGUAAGCAAAGUCAAAGCAAAAAGACCACACCAAUCCUUCUCAUUCUUGGAAGAAAUUCUUCACUAAAAGCAAAGACAAAAGUGGAAACGUUCCUAGAGUGAAAAUGAGCAUCUUUUGUGCUUGGCCAAAUCGGGUAAAAAUUGAAUGCACCUUCUCUCUUCCUUCUCCACUUCCAAUUUCGUUUUUUUCUUCAACAAACCAAUAUCCAAAUUGUUUCUUCCAGCUCCAAACCGAGAAUGCUGCACCAAGAACCCAAAGUUCCAAAGCAAAAUGAUUCAAGAACAAUAAAACCAAGUUCUACCUUCAUAAAUUCAACUUCAAAACACACUUUUCUUCAACUUUUUGACCCAAAUAAAACCAAACCCCUAUGCUUCCUAUGCAAUACCAUCCAGCCACCAUCAUCAAGCACAAAGUCCAGCUCAAAAUUUGUUUCCCAACAUCAAAAACAAAAUGCUAGAAGAAAAUGGCUCAAGAAUACAAUACCCAUGCACCAACUUAAGCCUUUUGCACUACCAAACUUGACAACAACUCCAUUUUCAUCCUCCAAACCAAGAAACUCAAGAUAAAUUCGAAUUCACUACAGCAAAAUGAUGAGAAAACCGAAAUGAACAAUGGGUCUCCCUUCCAUCAAAGAAACCACCAUGAAAAAGCAAAGAAGAAGCUCCAAACUCAAGCAUUCAACCUUCAAAAUGAAAAUCUAAAGAGAGGAAUGGUAGAGCUUCAUUCCAUCAAACAAGAACAAGCAUUGUUGCAAACAUUAGAAGAAGAAAAACGUGAUCUUUAACCAUUCAAGCAUCAAAAACGAAAAUGGCACCCAAGGCUCCCAAGAGAGAGUUCAUACAUGCAAAGGCUAAAGCAAAAAUGUGGAAUGUGAGAGUUGUAGUGAGUGUCUCGGCAAUUUGCCCUAAACAAUGCCUUCCCCCUUCAAAAUAGGUGGGGUCCACCUCCUAAAAGAA